rnacentral:misc_RNA from 1 species
UUUCCGUAGGUGAACCUGCGGAAGGAUCAUUAGUGAAUAACCACGUCUGUCUUCGCUUCGGCAAGGCAUUCGUACCCUCACAUCCAUAACACCUGUGAACCGUAGGACGUGGCGAUUCGUUGCCCGUCUGACCUUUUUUACAAACAACUGUAGUAACAAAAGUAGUAUUAUUAUAACCUAAUAAAACUUUCAACAACGGAUCUCUUGGCUCUCGCAUCGAUGAAGAACGCAGC